rnacentral:rRNA from 1 species
UAGAGAGGUGGCAAGCGUUGUUCGGAAUUACUGGGCGUAAAGGGCGCGUAGGCGGUCCUGUAAGUCCCGUGUGAAAUCCCCCGGCUCAACUGGGGAAUGGCACGGGAGACUGCGGGGCUUGAGUUCGGGAGAGGGAAGCGGAAUUCCGGGUGUAGCGGUGAGAUGCGUAGAUAUCCGGAGGAACACCGGUGGCGAAGGCGGCUUCCCGGACCGACACUGACGCUAAGGCGCGAAAGCUAGGGGAGCAAACGGG